AACGUACGCUGGCGGCACGCCUAACACAUGCAAGUCGAACGCAGUAGCAAUACUGAGUGGCAAACGGGUGAGUAUAAUGUGGGAAUCUGCCUUUUGGUUUGGAAUAACACGGGGAAACUUGUGCUAAUACCGAAUAAGCCUUUACAGGGAAAGUUUUAAUGCCGAAAGAUGAGCCCGCACUUGAUUAGCUAGUUGGUAAGGUAAAAGCUUACCAAGGCAAUGAUCAAUAGCUGUUCUUAGAGGAAGACCAGCCACAUUGGGACUGAGACACGGCCCAGACUCCUACGGGAGGCAGCAGUGGGGAAUCUUGCACAAUGGGGGAAACCCUGAUGCAGCGAUGCCGCGUGAGUGAAGAAGGCCCUUGGGUUGUAAAACUCUUUCGUCGGGGAAGAAAAUGACUGUACCCGAAUAAGAAGGUCCGGCUAACUUCGUG
rnacentral:rRNA from 1 species